AAACUGAAACCCUACCCAACAAUCUUUUGUCCAUAUAAAAGCAUAUGAUUAGCGAAGCAAGCAGCCGGCCGUGACCUCCAGAGUUCUCAAACCCUCCUACAUCUACCCCUUCAACGAUCACUUCCCGUUUGGUGCUUCAAGCUUGUUGCGGUGAAAUUGCACAACUCUCCUAAUAGAAUAAAUACUGAACAUCCGGCAUUUCUCUACCCUUUUUCUUCUUGAAUCGACUUGUAAUUAGAAGAUCCCAAUCAUCUUCUCCGAAAGAGAGAGAAUAGCGUGAAUGCCUUGUGUGAUUCUGUAUAGGCUAGAGUUAAUGCAGCAGCAGCAGAUAUGUUUAAUCCUUUGGGAUGAACUGGAUGGGUUGUUUAACGGAACUAAUUCUCAAUUUCUUUGAUGUUUUCCUUAUGGUCUCGUUAGUGGAUGUCAAUGCUUGCGUGGUAGGAAAUUAUGUGUGUACGGAUAUUCGAAUGAAGUUAAUGUGCUUGUGUCCUUUGUGGUGUCUGAAGACUCUGAACUGGAUGCUUGUCAAGUGGUGCGCGUUGUCGGAAGUCGAGAAGUUCCGAGGGUAUAACAUGCCUGUAGGUAUGAGAUACCAGUGGUGAUAAUUGAAUUGCAUGCUACAGCAUUUACCAAGCAAAUGCCUGUAGAUAGUUGAUUGACAAACGAGAAGAUAAUAGCUAAAAUGACAGUUAUUUGGGUUUGGCUUUCCUUUGCCCUUGCCUUCGAGAUGCUCUUAGGCCUGCUUUCUUUCACCAAGUGGCACGGAUACCCGGUGUGUGCUCGCGUCCGUGGUAGAGUUUGUUCCUUGGGUCUUAGGCCCAACGUUUGGGUCUCUAGGCUAGGGCCCAGUCUUAUUGAUGGUCCUUAGGACCAAAACCCAGCCCUAUCAAUGUGUUUGACACUUCUGCCUAAAAUCUCCUGUAGCAAAGUACCAAACAUUUGAAGAAUGUGUUCUGAAGAUGAGAAUGGGGAAAUUUAUAGGAUUAGUGUGUUUUCUUUCUUCUUAAAUUGAUGAACCGAUAUACUGUUUGUUAGGAGUGAAGAACAGUGGGGGUUAAUACCCAUUUUGGCAGGAGAGUAAUGUGUACACCACAACAAAAAUGAAGGAUUAAUUUAAUCAUCUCCUACAUGAAAUGUGAACAAAUUCACCUCCAAACGAAUCCUAAAAACUAGAUCUACGACUGUAGAAGUCAAGAGAUUGCAAACGAUGAGCCAAAAACUCAUUGGUUUUUUGCAGGAGGGGUUGGGUGAGGCUGGCUACUUUGCCUCUUAUACUGAUGGAGACACGUUGCCCGCUUGCUAAACAAAAUGUAAAAUUUAAGAAAUUAAACAAGAAGAAAGGAAGAGGAAAUCAAGAAGAACAUGAAAAACAAGUUAUAUACAUGAAAGAUGAAUAUGAUAACCUGCCAAUAGCUUUGUCAUAGAUUCAGGAAUUCUCCAAGUCAUAGAGAAAUGAACUUUAGCUGCGAUUUCAGAGUCUACGCUCUUAAAAUAACAAAAAAAUUGGUCAUCAUUUAACAAAGAUGUUCUAUGCUAAGUGAUCAACUAUCAAUUGAUUCCUCCCAAAAUGUGCAAGAAUCUCACUACUUUUGUUUUUUUUAUUAACGUGAGUGUUCGGACCAGUUUGCGCGUAUCUCGACUAAUCCUACGGGCCCUGAAGUUAACGACUAUGUAAGUCUUUAAUGGCUUUGAAGUUUGUAAGACUUGAACUGAUUAUCUCUAAGAAGUAAACUCAGGACCUGACCAGUUGAGUUAUAUCCUCGCGGGGUUAAGAAUCUCUCUCCUUUAUUUCUAUGGGUCCCGUUUCAACUGGCAAUCCCAUCUAAAGCGUUAGGUGUCUGUUCGAAAUUUAUCUAUCUACAACCGAAGGGUUUAUACUACGUGAUUCACUCGAAAGAAAGGAGAUCAGACUCGGAUUUGAAUGUAGACAUGGCUUUUUCAAAAUGGUUUUUAGAAACAAAUGAUUUAAAUCUACCUCAAGUACACCAUUUAUUUUCUUAGUUUAAUGUUGUGUUCUGCUUUGACAGCCAAGCGUCGCCUUAUUUUUCUGCAGUAUUGGCAUCUGUUCUGUAUUCAAUAAUUGAUUUGAGCUAUUGUUAAUUUACAUAUUCUUAAAAUGGAUCCUUUACGUUAAUUGUUAUUCUACUUUACUCGUAUUAAUUGGUUCGGUGGCGUAUGGAGUAAAAUGCCAUGCCACCGCUAGCUGUUUCAACAAUUGAGUUGGUAGCUCAAUGCAUCAGAGUUUAUUCUUUAAAGAUGAUCAGUUUGAGUGCUACAAGCCUCAGAAUUACUGAGGCUUACCUGGUCGUUAAUUUUAGAAUCUCGAGCAUUAGUCGAGGUACACGUAACCUAGUCUAUACACCUACGGUAACUAAAAUAAAAAUUAAAAAUUGAUGUAUGGGCAGUGAGAUACUUGGAGACGAGUUCUGAAGUUUCAUGUGGUUCGUAACGGUUGCUUUUCUGGGCAACUUUUGUUACUAGCUCAAAUAUAUCGGUGACAUCUAAGUUCAAGGGGUGGUUUUUGUACAUUGCAACAGCACUCUAUGAAAAAUCGUAGUUAUCAGACAUUACAAGUUCUAAUAAUGAUACAAAGGCUCUAUCGACAAAUACAUUUCUUUAAGCUCCUUCCUUAGGGAAGCAUGCUCGCCAGCGUUUCUCACUUGGGGGUAAAAGCCUGAAACACACCAUUUAAAAUAGUUAGCUUAAUUUAAAACAACUUGUUCUCGCUGCAUUAUUUACAAAUUACUGUUAUUAUUUGAAGUUUCAGGGGUGCACUCACAGCAAAAACGGUGGCAUGACCAGGAUCUGCUAGGUGAGCAAAGAGGUUGUCAAUAGGACCGGUGCCAGUGUAAAUGUGUUGGAACCAAGCACCCAUCACAGCCAACAUAGCCAAUCUUCCAUUCUUGAUCUCCUUUGUCCUCAAUUCCUUGAUCUUCUCAGGAGAGCCACUGCCCCAUCCAAGUGGGUCAAACCAUAGCCCACCUGGGUAACCAACAUCUGUACCAGUGAGUUUGUUGUUAGGGAAGAUAGGAUCAGUGUUAACGCACCCUGGCUUGAGAAUAUCAGCCCAUCUUCUUCCCUCGGCCCAGCCAAUAAAGAAUAACUCAACAAUGAAGAGUGUGGUGGUGUCAGUGAAGUAUUCAACUUCUCCAGCACUGUACCAGGACGGGGUGUUUAGGAUGCCAAUCUUUGUUAGGAAUUCUGGGAUGAAAAUACCAGCAGCACCUAACAUUGCCCAUCUACAGUGAACAAGUUCUGCUUGCACAUUCCAUCUUAGAGUUUCAGGAUCAGAUCCUGUUUCAGACAAAUUACAACUUGCAUAAGUACUUCAUGAUUGGUUAUAUUGUGCAGGUGACUAACACCUAACGAUUUAGCUCUCACUCACCAAGACCUAGAGGAUCAAAGCCAAAGUCUCCGGGGAGGCUGCAGUUGAGACAUUCAAGCAAAGCUUUAGAACGCUUAGCACAGUAAUUGAGUCUUUACAUCAAUGAAAAGAAAGAGGCUUUGGUGCUAAAGAACAAGUCUUCAACUGACCUGCCAUCAAGCCAUGGAGGAGGGGUGCUGCCUGGGAACCAGAGGGGUCUAUCAGGGUCAGCUGCAACACAAACUGUAACUGAUCGAGCUGCGGUUGGUGAUGUGUACGUCCUCAGUCUUAAUUUCUUCCCCCUAAGAAAAGAAGCCUUUGUUGACCCGACAAGGGAUCCAGUCUUCUGGGAACUGCAAUAAGAGAUGGAAACGGCUGCAAUGGCAGAAGAAGCACAAACAGCAGCCAUUUUGUUUUUGCCAAAAGACUAUCUUCCAAUCAGUUUGUGCUGUGUUUGAAUGGCUU